GCUUGUCUCAAAGAUUAAGCCAUGCAUGUCUAAGUAUAAAUGGUAUACAGUGAAACUGCGAAUGGCUCAUUAAAACAGUUAUAGUUUAUUUGGUAUUCGAAUUUACAUGGAUAACCGUGGUAAUUCUAGAGCUAAUACAUGCGCAAAUUCCCGACUGUCGCAAGGCGGAAAGGAUGUAUUUAUUAGAUCCAACCAGCCCGGUUCGCCGGAGUCCCUGGUGAGUCAUAAUAACUGAGCGAAUCGCAUGGCCUUGUGCCGGCGAUGGUUCAUUCAAGUUUCUGCCCUAUCAGCUUUCGAUGGUAGGGUAUUGGCCUACCAUGGCGUUAACGGGUAACGGAGAAUUAGGGUUCGAUUCCGGAGAGGGAGCCUGAGAAACGGCUACCACAUCCAAGGAAGGCAGCAGG
rnacentral:rRNA from 1 species